rnacentral:rRNA from 1 species
GGCCCACCCCUUUCCAUUCCGAACAGGGAAGUUAAGCCCGUUAGCGCCGAUGGUACUGCCACACCAGGUGGGAGAGUAGGUCGCCGCCUUCC